UAGCAAAUGCCUCCAACGGGCAGCUGUGAGGAAAAGCAAGACUAACUCUGCCAGGUCCUAGAACCUUUCAGAUUCACCGCGUUGAAUUUGAUACAUAAGGGCAAAGCACCUUGAAAAAUGAAUCAUCUGCAUUUUCUCCUUAUAAUCACUCCCUCCCGGGGCAUGUAAUUAAUUUCCUGAGCUUUGAAAGAAAAAAAAAA
rnacentral:lncRNA from 1 species